GACGAACGCUGGCGGCGUGCUUAACACAUGCAAGUCGAGCGGAAAGGCCCUUCGGGGUACUCGAGCGGCGAACGGGUGAGUAACACGUGAGUAAUCUGCCCCUCACUCAGGGAUAACCGCGGGAAGCUGCGGCUAAUACUUGAUAUGACCACGUCUCGCAUGGGGUGUGGUGGAAAGCGUUUAGUGGUGAGGGAUGUGCUCGCGGCCUAUCAGCUUGUUGGUGAGGUAGUGGCUCACCAAGGCUUCGACGGGUAGCCGGCCUGAGAGGGUGACCGGCCACACUGGGACUGAGACACGGCCCAGACUCCUACGGGAGGCAGCAGUGGGGAAUAUUGGACAAUGGGCGAAAGCCUGAUCCAGCAACGCCGCGUGAGGGAUGACGGCCUUCGGGUUGUAAACCUCUUUCACCUCUGACGAAGCGCAAGUGACGGUAAGGGGAGAAGAAGGACCGGCCAACUACGUGCCAGCCGCCGCAGUAACAC
rnacentral:rRNA from 1 species